UCAAAAUUUUGUAUUUCGAAUCGAACCGGCCGAAUCGAACCGGACCGGAUCGGACCGGUCGAAUCGAACCGGCUCCCUUUCCUUUUUCUUCUCCCGCGCGCGUCUCUCUCUUUCCUCUUUCUUUUCUCUCUCCUCCUCUCCCCUGCGCGCGCGUCGCUCCAGUUUCUCCGGCCAAAUCCGGCCGAUCCGGCCACCGAUUGGACCGGGUCUUGUGUCUAAAAUCAUCUACUCGGCGAGAGCUUUCCAUAGACACCAAGAACGCCGAAAUCCAUCGAGCGGAUUGUCCGAUUUUUGCUCGGGAAGAUUUUCGCCCAUUUCGACUUUUGGGCUAGAUUUCUCAAAAACCGUGAAUCCCACGAGAAAACCGAGGCUACCAGCACGCUCCACUCGACGAGAGCUUCGCGGGAUAUUAAUUUCAAAAUUUUCCGACAACGUUUUUCGGUAUCCUCGAUUCGCGGAAAUUCGACAGUUGACCGGGUCUGCAAAUUUCGGGCCAGACAGACCCGUUACCGGAAAAGUCUCCGAAUUGGACCGAGGUUUUGGCUAGCCCCCCAUUGUCAGACGUCCCGAGCGCGUUCCCGAAGUCGGAAUCGGCAAAGGCCACAGGAGGAUAUUUUGUUCUGGGUUAACCUGCUUUUAUCCUUCGCAGGUUGUUUAUCCAUGUUUGUGUAAUUUUAAUUACUCCUAGAAUUUUCGCAUGUGUU